rnacentral:rRNA from 1 species
CGGUGGAGCAUGUGGUUUAAUUCGACGCAACGCGAAAACCUUACCUGGGCUUGACAUGGAGAGAAUCUUCUGGAAACAGAAGAGUGCCUCGUAAGAGGAGCUCUCACACAGGUGCUGCAUGGCUGUCGUCAGCUCGUGCCGUGAGAUGUUCGGUUAAGUCCGCUAACGAGCGCAACCCUCGCUGUGUGUUAUAUGUGUCACACGGGACUGCCGGCCUUAAGCCGGAGGAAGGUGGGGAUGAUGUCAAGUCAGCAUGGCCUUUAUAUCCUGGGCUACACACACGCUACAAUGGUCUGUACAAUGGGUAGCCAAGCCGCGAGGCGGAGCCAAUCCUGAAAGCAGGCCUCAGUUCAGAUUGCAGUCUGCAACUCGACUGCAUGAAGCCGGAGUUGCUAGUAACCGCAGGUCAGCAAUACUGCGGUGAAUACGUUCCCGGGUCUU